ACUCAAAUGAAUAGACGGGGGCCCGCACAAGCAGCGGAGCGUGUGGUUUAAUUCGAUGCAACGCGAAGAACCUUACCUGGGCUUGACAUGACGGUGUAAGGCGUGGAAACACGCCCCCCUUCGGGCACCGCCACAGAUGUUGCAUGGCUGUCGUCAGCUCGUGUCGUGAGAUGUUGGGUUAAGUCCCGCAACGAGCGCAACCCUCGUGGUCUGUUGCAAAUCAGGCCAGACUGCCUCUCAACGAGGAGGAAGGUGGGGAUGACGUCAAGUCCGCAUGGCUCUUACGUCCAGGGCUACACACACGCUACAAUGGCCGGUACAAUGGGCUGCCACCCCGCGAGGGGGCGCUAAUCCCCAAAGCCGGUCUCAGUUCGGAUACCAGGCUGCAACUCGCCUGGUUGAAGUCGGAGUUGCUAGUAACCGCGUGUCAGCAUAGCGCGGUGAAUAUGUUCCCGGGCCUUGUACACACCGCCCGU
rnacentral:rRNA from 1 species